AGCAUAUCAAUAAGCGGAGGAAAAGAAACUAACGAGGAUUCCCCUAGUAACGGCGAGUGAAGCGGGAAGAGCUCAAAUUUGAAAUCUGGCGGCCUUGUGGCCGUCCGAGUUGUAGUCUGGAGAAGCGUUUUCCGCGUCGGACCGUGUACAAGUCCCUUGGAACAGGGCGUCGCAGAGGGUGAGAAUCCCGUCUUUGACACGGACUGCCGAUGCUUUGUGAUGCGCUCUCGAAGAGUCGAGUUGUUUGGGAAUGCAGCUCAAAUCGGGUGGUAAAUUCCAUCUAAAGCUAAAUAUUGGCAAAAGACCGAUAGCGAACAAGUACCGUGAGGGAAAGAUGAAAAGCACUUUGGAAAGAGAGUUAAACAGUACGUGAAAUUGUUGAAAGGGAAACGCUUGAAGUCAGUCGCGUCCCCUGGGACUCAGCCUUGCCUUUUCCGCUUGGUGUAUUUCCUGGGGUUUGACGGGCCAGCGUCGAUUUCGACCGUCGGAGAAAGGCUUUGGGAAUGUGGCACCCUUUGGGGUGUGUUAUAGCCCUCGGUCACAUGCGACGGUUGGGAUCGAGGAUCGCAGCACGCCUUUUUGGCCGGGGUUCGCCCACGUAACGUGCUUAGGAUGCUGGCGUAAUGGCUUUAAGCGACCCGUCUUGAAACACGGACCAAGGAGUCUAACAUGCCUGCGAGUGUUUGGGUGCAAAACCCGGACGCGAAAUGAAAGUGAAAGGUUGGGACCUCUGUCGCGGAGGGCACCGACGCCCGGACCAGACCUUUUUGUGACGGCUCCGAGGUGGAGCAUGCAUGUUGGGACCCGAAAGAUGGUGAACUAUGCCUGAGUAGGGUGAAGCCAGAGGAAACUCUGGUGGAGGCUCGUAGCGAUUCUGACGUGCAAAUCGAUCGUCGAACUUGGGUAUAGGGGCGAAAGACUAAUCGA
rnacentral:rRNA from 1 species